GUUCGGGGUAAGUACUCUACGUCUUUAUGUGCUGUAGUUUUCACUUUGUUUUUUUCUUGUCUUUCUCUUUUUUUUUUUUUUUUUGGUUUUUCGAGACAGGGUUUCUCUGUAUAGUCCUGGCUGUCCUGCUGAAACUCACUUUAUAGACCAGGGUGGCCUCGAACUAAAAUCCGCCUGCCUCUGCCACCCGAGUGCUGCGAUUAAAGUCGUGCGCCACCACGCCUGGCUCUUGUCUUUCUCUUAAUCAGCUUUCCUAUAACUGCGGCUGGCUUUUAUCACAAACACCUAUCUGUCACUGUUGUGAACCGCCGCCUGUAUUUUCUUACGUAAUGUUUAUUUCUGGUGAUUUAAAAGACCCUCGUGGGCAGCGUUAAUAAAUGUGGACUUUGGUAAUCUGUUCCGUAGUCUUAGCGGGGAGACCAUGUUAGGGCAUUCAAGACCUAAAGAUGACAGGAUUUUGUGAAGGACAAAAUGGUGGCGGCAGUGCAAGGCCACCCCCUAUGAUGAGGACCUUUUCACAGACCUGUACUGAUAUAUCUGUGAGGAUAAGUAACUCUGAGGAGGCUGGCCCUACAUCACAGCCUUCUCAUCCUUUAGAGAUUUCUUGGUGUAGAAGUAACCCGAUGCUAACUUCUCUACAGGUUUGAGGUGCCACCUUACAAAAGGAUGGGUGUACGCUCUCUUUUCAGAAUGUGGUUCAUCUCAAAGCCCUUUACACUUUGGAGCCAGGCCUGUUCAAUUUUACAAAUAACACGUUUUGCUUGUAGUCAGGGUGCUGUGACAACAUGAAGAGUUCGAGCUACCUCCCAGGAUGAGUGCAGGUUUUCCUGGUGACAAAUCUCAGGCAUUCAAAGGUUCUGUUAGCAGUGCCAUACUUGUGGGUUUACAGAGAUGGUGUGUCUGGCUGAGAACAAAGGAGCCGUACCAGGAAAGUUGAAGCAUAUCUUCAUUUUCAAGUCCAGGCUAAAAUAAGGUCUGAGGAAAAGAAUGAGCUGCGUGUGAAGGAUAGGAACAGAAAUCAUGAAAGAUCUGUUUGUCCAGGCCAGUGUUUCACCAUAAGAGAUCACUUUAAAAUAAAUGAUGAAAUAAUUCUUUGCAAUUGCAAAUUUACCUUCCUUGCUUACCACAUUGUUAACUGUAGGAGCUGAUACCUGGUUCUUCCACUGUUAACUUGUACUCUGUGUUUGUUCUAGCAAUAAAUGCUCUUUAUGCUA
rnacentral:lncRNA from 1 species